rnacentral:rRNA from 1 species
GACAAACCGUGCGAACGUUGUUCGGAAUCACUGGGCUUAAAGGGCGCGUAGGCGGGCGACCAAGUCCGGGGUGAAAUCCUCCAGCUUAACUGGAGAAGUGCCUCGGAUACUGGUUGCCUCGAGGAUGGUAGGGGCAUCUGGAACUAGCGGUGGAGCGGUGAAAUGCGUUGAUAUCGCUAGGAACUCCGGUGGCGAAGGCGAGGUGCUGGACCAUUUCUGACGCUGAGGCGCGAAAGCUGGGGGAGCAAACGGG